AUGGACUGGAGUGGUGUGGAUUACUUGUGGAUUAUUGUGAUGUUUUUAUCAGCUGUUUGGACUCUCAUUCUGACGGCACCCAUUCACUGCAGAGGAUCCAUUGAUGAGCAAGUCAUCUGGUCUGAAUCAGGAGAGAAAUCUGCACAGAUCAAGCACCGUUUACAAGCCAAAACAGCUCUAAGCAAAUAUGUGGGUUGGUUUUGAUGUGAGAGGAGAACAAGAGAUGGACUUUUUCAGUGGAGGAAGCAUUAUUAUGGAUUAUGGACUUGCGUAUUUUAGUUGGAAGUGACGGUUUAAAGUUUAAUCACCUUGAUGGAUUUGUUUCUUACAAACAUGCAGCUUUCACUUCUCCAGAUGUUAACUGAUGGACUGGAGUGGUGUGGAUUACUUGUGGAUUAUUGUGAUGUUUUUAUCAGCUGUUUGGUCUCUCAUUCUGACGGCACCCAUUCACUGCAGAGCAUCCAUUGCUGAGCAAGUGAUGCAAUGCUAGAUUUCUCCAAAUCUGAUGAAGAAACAAACUCAUCUGUAUCUUUAAUGGCCUGAGGGUGAGGACAUUUAUAAAAAAAUUAGUGAACUAUUCCUUGAAGUAAAAACUAAACACAGAGUCUCUGUCUUAGUCUAACCAAACGUUUGCAGGGCAAAGAGUUGGUCAUAUAUUAUUAUUAUUUAGAUUGGGUUAAACUGUUGGCAUUUACAUUUCUUGUUUUCAAGCAUGGUCAAAAAAUGACAGUAUGAUAUUAAACUGUUGACUAAAACAAUAUAUUUUUAUUUUUGGGUUUUAUUUAUUUUUUAUUUUUCUAUUGUAUAUUAUGAAUGUUGUUGGCACUUUGAUGAAUUGUUCAAGUCGGUUUUUAUAAAAGCGUAUGCUAAUUUUGUUCAUGUGAAAGCAUGAACCAUCCCUUUUAGUUUAUUGCAAAUAUUCACUCCUGUAUUUGAAUGCAGUGUUUAUUGGUUUAAAAUGCCACAUAAGCUUAUGAUUAAUUCAGUUGCUAAAGGGAACUAUGGGUGUCUUUCCCAGCUCAUUUAUGCAUGUGUGUCUUUGAGUCACAACAAAAGAUAAAGAGCAUGUGUGAGUGAUCAAGAUCUCUUUGUUUCCCCACAAGAAGCUUUCAGAAAGCUGCAGUCUUUUCUUACAAAUGGCAACCCCAGAGCAAUCUGUCAUCCUAAGAUGAACCCGCUCUGCCUUCACUUCCUUUGUGUGUUCCGAGAGUUUCUGCUCAGCUCUGUGAAUUUCAAAGGCGUACCAGCACAAAAGAGAAAAGACGAGGAUGGGAAAGGUUAGCGAAUAGAUCCCAGUGAAUCGGUUCUUGCCCAAGCUAGGCUGCUCUCUGCUGAGGUUAGCUUAUCCAAAAGAAGCUAUCAGUGAAGGGAAUGAAGUUACAGUUGAGGUACAAUUAG
ensembl:lncRNA